GUGCUCACUUCAGCAGCACAUAUAUUAAAAUGGAAUGAUACAGAGAACAUUAUCAUGGUCCCUGCAGAAGGAUGACAUGAAAAUUCGUGAAGCAUUCCAUAUUUUU
ensembl:snRNA U6 U6 spliceosomal RNA